GAUGAACGCUGGCGGCGUGCCUAAUACAUGCAAGUCGAGCGAACAGACGAGGAGCUUGCUCCUCUGCCGUUAGCGGUGGACGGGUGAGUAACAAGUGGAUAACUUACCUAUAAGACUGGGAUAACUUCGGGAAACCGGAGAUAAUACCGGAUAAUCUAUUGCACCGCAUGGUUCAAUAGUGCAAGGCGGUUUUGCUGUCACUUAUAGAUGGAUCCGCGUCGCAUUAGCUAGUUGGUAAGGUAACGGCUUACCAAGGCAACGAUGCGUAGCCGACCUGAGAGGGUGAUCGGCCACACUGGAACUGAGACACGGUCCAGACUCCUACGGGAGGCAGCAGUAGGGAAUCUUCCGCAAUGGGCGAAAGCUUGACGGAGCAACGCCGCGUGAGUGAUGAAGGUCUUCGGAUCGUAAAACUCUGUUAUUAGGGAAGAACAAAUGUGUAAGUAACUAUGCACGUCUUGACGGUACCUAAUCAGAAAGCCACGGCUAACUACGUG
rnacentral:rRNA from 1 species